ensembl:lncRNA
GGACAGGAUGGGGAGACCAGGGUUCUGCCAGGGCCGGGAGCGCCUCCAGCCAGCAGCGCCGGGCUUCCAGGUUGCUCCUCUCAGCUUCAACGUGGACAUUUCUGAGGGAGGCAGAACUGGCUGGUCACCCCAGGGGAGUGGAGUCAGAUUAGCCAAGGUGACCCCUGACUCUCUGACUCAUGUUUUAGGCCGGGCUAAUCCCAGCGAGGCCACGGGAGCAGGAAGCCCAUUCUCCGAUGCCCUGGCACACCGUCCCUUUCCAUGACUCCCAAGUCCUUGGUGGGGGCGGAAGGAGACUCAUUGGCCCCAUUCCCGGCAGGCUUCCUGGCAGGUUCCACAGGCCAGACGCUGGGUCAAAUCCAGCCUCUGCCUUCUCCCAACUGUGCCACCUGGGCAGGUUACCCAACCCGCUCAGCCUCAGUUUCCUCCUCUGUAAACAGGGCUAGUGAAUGUCAGCUGUCGACGACAGGACCAGGCAGGGUGUCCAGCCACUGCCAAAUGCCUGGGGCCUGGGCGAGGUCACGCUCCGCCAAGUUCUGCUGAAUGAGUAAAUGUACCCCAAGUACCCCGGAAGCCAGAGCCUCCAUUCCCUUGCUUGUAAAGGUCCUUCCUCAGGGGCUUUUCAGGGGCAGGUGGGAGCAGACCCGAGCUCCCCAGAAGAGAAGACAUUGCUGAGGGACCGUUCAUGGGCACCCAGCUGGCUGCGGGCCCCCGAGCUUCUCAGUUAGUGCAGCCCUGCCCCGGGGAGCCAGCCCAGGGGGCUCUCAGCGGCCUUUACAUCAAAUUAUUCCUCCACGUUCCGGAGAGCAGGAAUUAUUGGCAGAAAAUGAGGAUAUAAACCCCGCUGGAGCCUGGCACCUUCUCGGGGCAUUCAGCACCAAGCCCUUGGAAGCCUUCCAGCAGAUUGCUUCAUUUUUAAUGGUCUGGGACUGUAGUUCAUCUGUUUAAUUCAAAA